GAAUGCAACCUACCCAGGAAGCUUCUUCCAAGUGGUAUGUCAACUCAGGUGUUGUGGAUUUUAAUGAUGGUCUGUUAGUACUUUAUUGAGGAUGUGCUCACGCAUACACACUUUAGUAAAAGAUUUUUAAAGAUGCUGACAAAUGAAUCCCUGUGAUUUGGAAGGCAUUCUGCCCUCUAGUCAAAAGGUAGGCCUGUCUUACAUGAUAGGACCUAUUAUAUUAUCAUCUGUACCCCUAUUUGAAAUGAAAUUUGUACAAAUUGUUUAUUGCUUGAAUUUCCAAAGAACAUUAUUGUAGUGCUCUUCCCUCACCUCCUUUUUUUUAACCUUCACCUGAUAAAAUGCAGUGAUUGAGGCAUAAAAUAUAUGGCCUGUGGCUUAGGAAUUGUCAGUGACUUUGUGAAGAGUCAAACUGAACUGAUGGCACAAAGAGGGAUUUUUCUCUCUUGUCAUCUAAGU
rnacentral:lncRNA from 1 species